GCUGUGGUUGCUGUCUGCAGUGGUCCCUCCUGCCUCCUGUCAGGCCACACCUGUGUCUCCUCACUCACAAUCAGGUGCCCCUCAGUGGCCUGAAUACCAGAGUGGCUUCUGCAAGAAAAAUGAGACAGAGAAGCAGACAGAGGUCAACAGGCUGAGAUGACUUUGUGGGAGCAGCAAGGGAUCCCUACUCCCUCCCACCCGCAUGAAAGCUGAGUAUAUUCAGAGGGCUGGGGGAAUAUGCACCCCCAUCUCUCUCUGUAGAUGACAUUAACAUGUCCUUAGUCGCCGUGUUCUCCAGAACCACUGCAUCUAGAACCUAACAGAGCUAGUUAGUGCCACAAUAGGGAAGACCAGCUUGAAAACGGUUAGGAAAAAAAUGGCAGGCACCUAUCAGAUGAAUCUCAUCUUAGGGGGUCUAAGGCUGCUUGAAAGCAGGUAGGCAGCUUUGAGCUGUGAGCGCCCCUCACAUGCACUUUGGAGCAGCAGACGCUAAGCCAGCUCUUCCCCAGUAAGGUAGGAAGAAAACGAGGGGGCUGAGUUUGGGAGAGUUCUGAAAAUUCUAACAAGCCUUCUUUGUUUAUCUUCUCUAGGCUUCCGCAGCCGGUCUGCAUGUAGUUGGGAUAAAUUCAGCCCAGGAGGAAAAUCAGCGCUGCCUCCCCCUCUCUCCUCCCAUUUUAGGUGAGAGGAGGAGGUGCCGUGGGGGUAGAGAAAGAUCUGGAGAGCUCGCCAGCUGGGCUUAGACACUGGAUUGUGGAGGAAUUGCUGUGUGAGUCAAUUGUUGUUGUGUCCGGCCAGCAGAUCAUAGGUCUGGGUUCUAGCCUGGAAAGGCAUUUUGGAAACCUGGAAGAGAAGAAGGGCUGGGUUGCGCGAGAUAAGGAAGGAACCAAGACAAAGCUCUCUGCUCAAGGUUCAAUUUUUACUAUUCUGGCACUCCGUUAUGAAGGAAGGGGGAGGGACCGGAUUCCCGCCAAAUAAUCUUGGAGUCCAGUAGCAGGGUGACCACGUGUAUGGCUCAAAACAUCAAAGCGGCAGGUUCCAGCAGUGGGCGUGGCAGAACGAUUGAGCGGGAAGCUCCACCCCUGAGCAAGCAGGUUUCAGGCUGGGGGAGGGGAGACUACAAAUUGUGUCUAGAAGUUUCCCUUCUGCAUAUACGGAAUCAAUCCAUGGUUGGUAGGGCCAGUGCACUUGGACGCUCGAGUGUGUAUCUGAGUAAGGACUGCAUAGAUGCUACCUCAGGAGCAAGAGGGUAGAUCCGUAAAGACAGAGCUGGGGACCUAUAGACCAUGCAGAUUGAAGUGUCCUGCAACCAGCUUUGCCAGCUGUGAGCUGUACAUGUCAAGAGGCCGAGACCAUCAGAGCGAUCGAGCUCAGCUGAUUACAGAUGUGUUUUAUUAUUGUAUGCUAAAACUCUGGCUAUAUUAGUGUUAAUUACUAUUAAAAACUGUGGCCCUGGGUCUUUCCUGUAGGCGUACUGAAGUAAGAUCUAAAACACAUCUGGCUUCUGCUGAGGACAAAGCGCUAUGUCAGAGGAGGAGGAAGAAGCUGGAAAGGAACCGUUGUGGAGUUGGCAUAUGGGUCACUCUGAAAAAACACAGCAAACCACAGAUGACUCAGUGAUGCAGGAUGCUCUUCAGCAAGUCUGAGGACCCUAAUGAAACUGGAGCCACAGUCACGGUGUGCCCACUGGCCAGUUCUCCUAAAUCAUUAUUCUGUGCUUCUUAGAAACUUCAAGGGAUGCCACUCUUUUGAAGAUUUGAAGCCCUAAAGCCACUGACAUCACAUAACUGAAAGUUUUGAUCAUCACCAAUCCCAUCUUAGCUUCCAACUGACCACACUCCUCCCUACUCCAUCAUCGUUGAUGCAGUUUCCCUGUUGGUAACAUCAGUUAAACUGAGCACACUCCUCCCUACUCCAUCACUGUUGAUGCAGUUUCCCUGUUGGUAACAUCAGUUAAAGCAGAAGUUAAGCCCAAACUGCUUACGCCAAGCUUCAAGCGCUUACUUGGAGCAACAAGCAAAGAACAAUGAGUUGUCUCACAAGCUAACACCAGCAACUCUUUCUCUGUCCACAAAAUGUUCACCAAUAUCUGCAGAAUACCAGCACACUUACAAGCAGCUCCUAGAACUGCAGUGCUCGGAUGUCAGGAUGAGGUACUGCAGUGCACAAUAUUUUUAGCAUCCUUUCCCAACUGGCACAAUUUCUCAAAAGACAGUGUUGCUAUGCACCUACGCAUUCACUGAAUAGAAUGUGACCUUUCUUUUACCUUUUGCUUAAUUUUAUUCUUGAAGUUUGGUUGUAAUACAGCAGUAAGAUAUGAGCUACAACUUGCCUCUUGAGAUGCGCCAUGAGGUACCGGAGCGUCUCGCAGUGGGCAGGCGGCAGCGAUCUCAGUGCUUCGUGAAGGGUCUCCAAUUGCUCGUCAGGGUCCAUAAUUUCUACAACAUCAAGGAGAGAUGCUCUAGCAGAAAACUGAUGUGAUCUCAUGGGAUGCUUUGUAAAGCUAGUGACAACGAUUUCUCACAGCCAAAACCCAGCUGUCCAAGGCCACCUUAGGUUCAGGGUGGGAAUACAGUUUGAUGGGCCUUUUCCAUCACCUGAGGGUCUUAGGGUCUGGCACAUGAGGAAAGUGGAUACACAAGAUAUUGGGUAUGCAGCUCUAUCACAUGCAGAUACAUGUAGAGACAUGGAGAAAGCCUUACACAUACUAAGGAGUUCAUCUGACAAUGGCAUACAUAUUGCUCAGGAUAUUAAAAAUCCCUUUGUAGUAUACAUGACAAGGUGGUCCACUGCCCCUGUGAUUCCUGGCAAGUCUUCCUGAUAAUUUUUUUCAUGACAUUGUUUUUCUUUGGAGUGAUACGGAAGAACUCAUGCCUCAUGCAUGCCAGGCAAGCACUCUACCACUGAGCAAUAGGCCAGCUCUUUAUUCUUCUAAAUCAAGAAAUGGAGCAUCUACCAUUUGUUUGCUGUACUUAUUACACUCGGUGUUAUAUAACAAAAUGAAGUCUCCCUUCAAAGCAUGGGCACUCUCCAUUUCUCGAGUAUGUUCUGAAGAACACACUGCACACAAGUCUAAGUGUGCUGUGCCAUGGUGGGACCCUGGAUAAGGGGUUCCCCUAAAGGAGUCCAUCAUGAAGGGAGACCUCCAUCUGGUCAUCUGAGAGCUGCACUGAGGCCCAUACACCAACCACUUUCCAUAAGAACUCUGCUCGAGCUAUCAAUCACACCUGUAAUACAAGGAGCUGAUGCUGUCGGAACUCUGUGCUCUUGAAGAGCACCACAGUACACCAGCUCUCUGGUUACAGGAGUGCCUUACAUGCUGGUCUCAGCCAACCACAACAGGACCUCACACUCCUAACCAACAUGAUAACCUCGAAUGCUGGGAAGACUCCAUCGGCCCUGUAUCCAAUGUUUGAAAGAGAAGACUGAAACUCUAGUCUCUAACAAAUAACCAGCCCAGCUCAAUGGCAAUGUAGACUGGGUCCAGUAAAUGCCAGUGCAGAGCAAAGGCUGGGCUCAGGCACGCAGAGCAGAUCUAAUGACUGUCAGAAUAUAUAUCAUCAGUGACUGAGGCCAUUUAGUUCAAAAGGACCUUUGACUACUCUACAGUUUUGGUCCAAAGCUUUCUCAAUUCCCUGUUCAUUUCUUUAUAAUAAAGAAUAUGUGUUUUGCCUUUUGCCAUAU
rnacentral:lncRNA from 1 species